AUCUAGCUGAGGAGUCCCAAUUAGGCCGAAACGCGCAUCCUGGAU
rnacentral:hammerhead_ribozyme from 1 species